CUGGAAAAACGUCAGUGUCCAUCAGUGGAUCUGGUGUAAUAAUGGAGGGUGAUUCAGUGAAUCUGACCUGCAGCAGUGAAUUAAAUCCACCUGCUCAGAACUACAGCUGGUUUAAAGUGAAUGAAACAUCAUCUGUUGGAUUUGGACAGACGUACAGCAUCACUAACAUUAACUCCAGUCACAGUGGAUGGUUUUACUGUGAGGCUCAUAAUAAAGUCGGAUCUCAGAGAUCUGAUGCUGUAUCACUCAUAGUAACAGGGGUUCAUGGUUUUGCUCUUUAUACACUUUAUGUGAUUCUGGCUGGAUCUGGGGCUUUGUUCUUCAUCAUCAUCUUCAUCAUUUUGUUUAUGAUGUCAGUACAAUUUUAUAUUUCAAGUGUUUUCUUCAUGAAUUCAGUUUAAUUCCUGUUUUGUUUCUAAUGCGACCAAUUCACAACUGUAGAUGAUAAAGACAGGGAUGAGAAAGAGUUGUGUGAUGAUCACAGAAGCUCAGUGUAGUAGAGUUCAAGUUAUUUAAACAUUAAAUCUUUAUUUUCUGUUAUUUUUCCUUUCUUUUUAUUGGAAGCACAGGAGGGGUCAUACAGCAGAAGAAAUCAAGCAGAAGCAGAUGGCUGACUUGAGUGAUGAUACAUACACAGCUCUGAAUCCUGAGUCCAGAACAUCUGAUGACAUUUACAACACAAUCACAUCUGAUCAGUGCAGGGCUGCUGAUGGCGUCUACACGACUCUUGAGCUUCAGUCCAGAUCUUCUGAAUAUGACACACUUACAGUAAACAGACAUUAAACUCUGACAGACUCUGACAGACGGCACUGUAUACCAAUGUAAUGUUGUGAUGUGUUGUUUAUUAUUACUAAUAAACUGAAAUGUAUAAAGCUGUUACGUUAAGAUUUACACAUAGUUAAACCUUUAAUUACAUUAAAAAAUAUUUUUGUCAUCAUAAUGAGCACAUUUAUGUGUUAUAAUUCUCAUCUGUAUUCCUGGAGAGACUUCUCGCUCUCUGAAGUUCACACAGAUGCUGAUAGUCAUUAAAGAUGAUUGACUGAGAUGAUUUUUCAGUAUAUUGAGAGUCUGUCACACCUUCAGUACAGUAGAGGUUAAAUGUGAUCUUCUGAUUGGUCAGUUUGAGUCACAUGAUCAAUGAUUAUUCAUAUAUCUUAAUUGUAAAAAAUUUAUUCUACAUGUUAAAGCAACACUAUGUAGUUUCCAUGUAAAAAUGACUUACAGCUCCCUCAUGUGGUUGAAAAGCGCAACAGUGCCUAAUAUCAGGCACUCUUCUCCAGGCAGGGGUUGGGGCGGGGCUGUGUUUCCUACCCUCCACCGCCACUUUCAGAGUGUGCUUGUAGCAGCUAGGAGGCUGCUCAGGUUGCAGCAACAGUACAAUUUGUCCAGUUAAGUUGUUCUAUCACUGAAAUAAUUUUAGAGACAUUAUUUAAAGGUAAAAAACUACAUAGUGUUG